rnacentral:lncRNA from 10 species
GUGGGAGACGGCGCAGACACAAAGGCAAACAAUCCCAAACACAGGCUUUGCCCUCCUUGUACGUUGAGACAAAGGAAGCAGAAAUGAGCCUGGGAUCACAGUCUGCGCUGAGCAGCAUGGAGCAAACAGGGCGUCCCCUUCUCAGUGACAGAGGGACUUGGGCUGACCAACCGUCUUGGCUUCCCUGGGACUGUCCCAGCUCAGCACUGAAAAUCUCAUGCCGAUGAAAACCCCCGCAGGCCUGGGCAGAUGGGAACCUUGGUCACUCUUGCAGAAACUUGAGUCAGACAACAGAGCCGCUGAGUACACCCCAACACAGAGGAGCCAGCGCUCACCGAGAGAUUUGCCAAGUGGAGUCCUUUUGAGACAUCCAAAUUUCACUGUCUUCAACUUAUUAAUGUGAAACAAAGAAUAACGUAUAUGUGUGUGUAAACACGAAUAGUAACAGCUUAUAUUUGUAAACAAUGUGCCGUGCGCCCAGCACUACAUUAAGCAGUCUCCAUGCAGCACCUCCAUUAAUCCUGGGGAGCACUGUACCCACUUCAAGAGGCCUUUAGAAGAGCAAGUAACAAAAACUGGUGGAAAAAAAGCACACAUUCAACAGGAAGCAACAUCUAGAGACCUUUCUGCCUUCCAGGAUACAAAAAGAAAACAGUUCAUAAACAACUUACAUCUAAACCAGUAAUGUUGUCUCCCUGGCUCAUAGGAGCUGAAGAAGAAUUCCAGUUACUGUAGUAAGAAUAUAAGGAUGUGGACUGGUUUGAGGAUGCUUGAGGCAUGACUAUAGCAAGUACUGCGCAUACAUAUGUGGACAUCGUAAGACACACUCUCUGCUUCCCCAGGCGAAAUCUGUAAUGCUUUGUUUAUUCAUGUUCUAUUCUGCGUUUCCAUGGCACUUUGUUCUUUGUGGUUUUUAGGGUAUCUUUCUCCCUCUCUGCUCAGUGAACUGAGCUGCCUGGACAGGCCUUGAGUUUUCUUAUUCGAUUGUUUUUUGUGUGUGUAUGUUUUGCCUUAGCUCCCUCACUAGUAUAGUCAAGGAGCUUUUCAUGCUUUGAGCCAUUUGUGGCAUUUCAGGAAUUACCUUCAUAGCUUUUGUCCAUUUUCUACUGGCUUGUCUUUUUCAAUGUUUUUAUAGGCAUUUUUUAAAAAACACAGUGUGGAUGUCAUUUGGGAUAGCAGUACUAAUAGUAGCUAAAACUUACUGAAAGCUACUGUGUGCCAGGCAGUCUGCUGAGCACUUUACAUGCUGCCUUUCAUUUUUACACUCAUUUAGGAAACUGAGUCACAGAGAGGCGAGAUAACUUGCCAGAGAUUCAAGCACACUCCAGACACAUCCCUACACCAAUCAGACCUCCUAGCCACCCAGAAACUCUCCUCUGCUCGGAGGCUUCUCUGCUUCCUCCACCUGCCCCUUCGCCUCACUGCCUCCUUUCAAAAUCUGCGGCAUGUAUUUUAGGGAUACUCGUAUCCAUUUUCAGGAAUUCCAUGAUCUACACACAGAUGACACCAAAAUCGGAACAGCAAUGUCCACCCUUCUCCCGAGCCCUAGGUCGGUGCCUCUGUCCACCUGUGUCUCCUGAAACUUCAACACAGACUUCAAAUGGAGUGGCAGAAAACCAGAUUCCUUAGGGAAAGGAAGGUCUCCCAGACGGCAGGAGCGGCAGGCCUUAGGGGCAGCCGCAGGGGCUCGGGAGUCUGAACAUACCCGGUUUGAAUUCAGACUCUGGCACGCCCCAUGCGAUCAUAACAUAGUGCUGCACGUCUCAAGCCACCUAUAAAAACGGGGACAAUAACAAUAUCUGCCUCGGGGUUAAUGGAUUAGAUGUGUCGGUCCAUAGACGUUGCUGGCCACAUAGUUAAGUGGUGCGUUCACUCACUGGGCAUUGAUGGAGCGCCUACUACGUGCCAGGCCUGUUUUACGCGCCGGGGGCCCAGAGGCGCCCAGGUCAGACAAAGUGUAAACGAUUCCGACCAGAGCCCUUCAAUCUGCAUUCCGCUUCGCAGGAAACUCUCCUCCUUUUAUGAUUUUCAGCCGGACUGCCUUCCCUGUUGUUAGUUUGUAACUUUCGCUCCGGCCCCCGCAGCCUCGCGCCUGCCUUCCCUCCACUGUCCUCAGCCAAGGUGUAGUAAAGCGUCUCCGAACGCGGCGCGACCCUCGCCCACGCCCGCUCGCGGGGGGACCGCACCGCCCCAGGGGUCCUCGCUAGGGGUUCCCGGAGAAGGGGUGGGAGAUGGGGGUGCGGGGGGGCACAGGAGCGCGGGCCAGCACCCAGACCUGCUCGGUACCGGGGACCCAGACCCGAGGAUGCCGGGCGGCCAAGGCCCCGCUACCCUGGCCGGCUCCGGGCGGAGGAAGAAGAGGAGGCGCCCAGACUGGAUACCCGCCUGGACCCGGAGCCGCGGCACCACCCCCAGCCCGCCCCACGCUCGCCAGCCUCAGACGGCCGCGCCCCG